rnacentral:lncRNA from 1 species
CUGGGAGUGGACCCCAAAUCCUGUCUUCCAACAGGAAGUCCUGCUCCUCUUUGCUACCAGUGAAGCGGGGCUUGGAAAGGAGGCGAGGGAGGGAAGAAGCGCGGCCGUGAAUCCUUUGUAAGGAGAAAUCAGUGGGGAGCGGGAAGCCCAUGGGAGUAGGCUCAUCCCAGGAAAUCAGGUAGAGAGGAGCAUGGUGGCUGGACCCUUGGCCCUGCUCUCCCAGGCACCACACCAUCCCCCACCUGGGGAACAGGGAGCACUUAGGUUUGGAAUCCUGGGGAAGAGAAGUUCUAUUUCCGUUGGGCUGUUGAGGCCUGUGACCGGUGGUGGCCAUCUUCUUUCAUCAACGGAAAAACCACUUGAGAAGGACACCAGUACAGAGGGGAGGAAGCCAAGCCAAGAGGCUGGGAGAGCCGAUUCCUGCUGACGGCAUCAAGCACCCAGAAUCAUGCUCACGGGACCACAACGGCCAGUGUCUGGAGCUGCUGCAGGGGAGGCCAGGAGCCUUCACCCGCCCCCGUCCUUGGGGACACCUCCUUCCUUUGGGCCUUGGGGGUCCUAUUCCCUACUUGCACACCAGAGAUCUUUUCCAGAAUACGCAGAGAACCUCGCUCACUUUGGAACAGGAUGCGUCCAUCACCGCCCUUUCCACAUCUCCCUGAAACGCAGCUCGGGUCCUCCUUUCUUUGCAUCAUGGCCUCCGGGGCUGUCGCGGGAGAGACCAGGCAGACGGUCCAUCAACAGCUCCGCACUUGGGGCCCCUGUGAGGCAAGAGCUGCCCACUGGGAAGCGCUGUUCACAAGGGACCUCACACUCCAGCUGAAGGGGCUGUGGAGGCCCCGAGGGCCGGAAGCAGUGCUCAGGCCAAAGUGAUCCCAAAGGCUUCUUGCUGGCUGGGGCCUUCUGGCCAUGCUGGAGGGUGGGGGGGCGAGGUCCCUGCAGUGUCUGAGGACCCACUGUGUGCAGGCUCAGGGUGCACAGAGAAGCAAGGGCAGAAGCCGGCCCCAGAGGUGUUCACAAGCCAAAUAUGGACAAGCCAGCCAGGCAGACAGAGAACCAGAGCUCACGGGCUGUUUUCAUGGGUGAAGGGUGGGGGUCGGGGCAGAGACCCAUGCCUGCUGGGGAACUAGUUAAGGAUAGGGAAUUUUUCACUGAGACUCGAAGGCUGUACCAGUUAGAUAUGUUUGGCUGAAGUAACAGAAAACUUUACUAAGAGUGGCUUAAACUACAAAGGCAUCUAAUGUUUAAUGUUUAAAGAUGAUGUGAGAGAUGGGAAGUCCAGAGGUGGUCUGGUGGCCCAAUAACGUCAUCGGUGACUCAGAUGCCACCCACCUCUCUACUCCACCAUUAACAGAAUGUUAGUGUCACUCCCUCGUGAUUGCAGUGUGGUUGCCUCCACUCCAGCCAUCACAUCUGCAUAGUUAGUGCUCAAGCCAGAAGCAAGAGGGCACCUUCCUCAUUGCCCAUCUCUUUCUUUUCAGGAAGGAAAAUCUCUCACAGAAGCCCCCAUAGACUUCCUCUAAGAUCUCAUUGGCCAGAACAAGUCCCUGUCCCAACCAAUCACCAGAGGUGGGGGAGGGGAAGGGGAGCAGUUGCCAUGACUGGCUUGGACCAGUCAUGAUUCCUCCAAAAUGAGCAUCCCCAGGAGGAAGGCAGGGUGAGGUGGGCAAAGGCUGCUGUGUGAGCAACCAACUCGAUGCUGCCACAAAGGAGAAAUGGACGAGGGAGCUGCGGUUUCCAAGACAAGGGAACAGAAGAGCAGGAGGAACAGCAUACCACGCAGAGGUGCAGAGGCGCGGUAGCUACUGGUGGUGUGCAUGAGCACAGCAGGGGUGGGGCAAGGUGGGCAGGGCCUCAUAUUCCGUUAGAUGCCUGGAGCAAGGCGGGCCCUGGGCAAUAGGGAGCUACUGAGAGAUGCUGAGCAGAGAGUGAGCACAGCCACAGACGGGAAACUGCAGGUAUGCAGGGGCCCUGUGGACCUUUACUUCUUUACCUGGCACAUGAGGACCACAGCGUGUCCAGCCUGGGCAGGCGGGUUAGAUGGACUGGGAAUGUAGCCCUCAAAGUAAGGGGUUUAUCGUGUGCCCCCCGAAGGUAGCUGAGAAGGGGUGCAGGUGGGUAAGGUCCGGGACCAGGGUCCCUGGGAAGUGUCCUCAAGGACCGCUAUGUCUUCUGACUCCAAAGCUGCACGCUAACCUCCUACCUGUCUCCCGCUCCCUCGUGCAUCACUGCAGCCAGGCAUUCUGCAAACCGCAGGAGUGCCAGGGGCCGUGACCCCGGGGUCAGCACCAAGGGCACCAGCAACAGGCACCCGUCCAACACUCCAUCUCCAGCAGCUCAGACAGCACAGCGCCACUGUGAGGUGGCCACUGCCAGACCAAUUAUAGUGAGAAGCUGAGCCUCCAAAGGGGCAAAGGACUUGUCCAAGGUCACACAGACUGAGAAUGUUUAGAAGCUAGGGCUGCCUGUCUGUCACGCAAGCAGACAGGCCAGCCUCAGGCAAUGACAGCCAAGUGAACUCAGCACAGAGCAGGGUGUGUGUGUCAUGGUGGGGGCGAGGGUACUGGACGGGCAGGCUGCGGAACAGAUGCCCAGAAGGGCAGAGUCUCGCAGGGUGAGGGCACUGCUGUCCCUCUGCUGGAGAGCAGAGGAAAGGCGCUCCUGCUGGAGGACCAGCUCGUGCAAAGGCCGGGAGGUGCUGCAGCAUGAGAAACACGGCUUGUGUGUGACAGAGGGGGACAAUGGAAGCCACUGCUCACGCGGGAGGAGGCCCCUGGACUUCCCCUCCUCCCCGGCUUGCCCCUGACCCUGGCAGCUCUGCCUCCAUCCAUCUCUCUGUCUCCCCUCCUCCUGCUGCCCCGAGGCCCAGCCCCUGAGCCGGCUCCUCCUCAUCGUCCUGCACUUUCCACAUUGUCCCGUCUUGGCUCAGACACCACAGACACCUUCCCUCCCUUGAAGUGAUAAUUAAGUUUCUCAUUACUGAGGGAUACCCUCAUGACAUGUCUUCAAAGUUUAAAAAAAAUUUAAAUUGAAAAAAAAAUCCAGACUGUUAAUGGUCUAAAUGAGCAGAUGGCGAGCGAAGGUUGCUCAGGUUCCCAAUAAUGAAAGAGCCCUGGUCCCGGAGCGGGAGGGAGGGGGUGAACUUGACCCCCAUGUGGCCCGUGGGUAAUCCUUUCGUCUAUUCAGGGUUUUAGCCAUCGUCACAUUUCUGAGCCCAUUUCUGCAUCUGGCCCAGAGCCCUCCCAGAGCUCACAGGCUGGAGAGGUCAUCAGAGUGUGACGAUAGCGCCGGGGGGGUCCAGGUGAGGCCUCAGGGGGCCGUAGGAGGGGCUGGGGAUCAGGAACAGCUUUAUGGAGGAGGUGACGUCUGAGCUGGGUCUCCAAGGACCAGCCGUCAUCUAGCUAGGGCCUGGCACCAAGAAGGAACCAAACACAUGACGAGUGAAUUAGUGAGUGAAUGAACGAAUUGGCAUCCGCCUAACAGACAGCAAGGAGGGGCAGCCCACCCAAGCAAAGGCAUGAAACACAGGGCCUCCUGGGGAACGUGAGGAGGGGCUGCCAUGCAGUGCCCGACUCACCCCCGUUAUGGCCAUCUUGCUGCCACAAUAGCCGUGCUCUGGCCGCCCGGGAGCCCUGGCCUGCCCUCUGCUCUGGGAUACUGCUCGUCAUUCCCAGCCACACCAGCGUGUGUCACCUCCAUGUCCCUGUGUGUAAGGGCACCAGCCUCUUGGGGGUUUGUGAAGAGGGGGAGGUCAGUGUGCAGCCCCAGGCUGAGGACAGGAGGGAGAGGGUCACGGGGUCCCGAGGCGGUGGAUCCAGGGGCCGGGGGGCAUUGGCAGAUGGGGUGGGGAGGAGCCAUGCUCGGGGGCGGAGGAUCCCACUGGCGGAGGUUCCCUCACCCAGCGGGGCUUCAUGGAGAAAAGGGAGUCGUGGGGCAAGGACUCAACUCCACCUGGGCCAAACUGACUUGGAGAAGCUCAGGGGACACCCAGACAGAGAAGUCUAGGAGGAGCUGGACGUGGGGGUAAAGGCACCACAGAUGGUCAGGGUCAGAGUUUGAGAGCCAGAUGAGAUGGGGCCGAGGGGCAGUGGAAGGGGCUGGAGGACAUUGAGGACAUUCACUAACUGGGGUCAUCAAGGUGGAGACUGCUGUGUUGAUUUCACAGCCUCCUGGUGCCUGACAUAGCUGGGCCCAGGGAGGCCAUUCAAUAAACGCAUACUGACUUAACCCAAAUUCACUUGUUUCUACUUUAAAUCAUGGAACAGGAUAGAAUUUGCUGGACCCAGGUUAAUUAGUAGGAAGCUGAAAGCAAGGAUUAUAAACAAAAGCAAGAUACAGACUUGAGAUAAAACUAAGAAUCCACACUAAUAACUAAGACUCUCAAACAUGCAGCCCACUGUGGCCUCAGGGCCUUUGCACUUGCUGGUCUCGCAGCCUGGAACACUCUACCCUCUGCAUUGCUUGCUCCCUAAACAUCUUUGGGAAUUUGCUCAAACGUCCUUCCUGACUUAAUUUUUCUCCAUGGUACAUAUCACCGCCUGACUUUGUGUAUAUUUUACCUAUUUUUUUCUCUGUCUCCCCCACUAGGCUGUCAGCUGUACGAGAAUGGCGACCUCUGUGUGCUUCACUCUGCUGUGCCCGGUGUCUGGAGCUGGCCCACAGGCAGUAGGGCCUCAGUGGUGUGCGCUGGGCAAGUGAACACCGCCGACCACAAGCAAGCACAUUUCUGGGAGUUCUCAGUGUUACUGGCUCACUCGCUGUUUAUGGAGCCCCGCUCUGUGCCCUGCCCCGACUUAGGCCGCAGGCACGACGUCAGUGAAGGAGACGAGAAAAUAAACUCUGCUGCCCCCAUGGAGCUGACAUCGCAGAGGGAAACAAAGAGUGAGGAGAGCACAGCAGAGCCCACGGUGCAUGAGCAGCCAGCAGUGUCUUCUCCAACGGAAGCCCAUCACGUCGCUCCCUGCGCCUGGACCCCCUGCUCCUUGGAACAAAACCCAAAGCCCUUGCUGUGGAACUGAACUUGGACUAAUGAGGGAGCUCGGAGGCAGCCGCGGCCCCAGCCAGCCAGGGCCCAGGCUCACAGAAGAGGAGGAGAAAGCCUCGUCAGCAGAGCCUUCUGUUAUCAGAGCUGACUGCUCUUCCAGGCCGUGAGCUGGGGGAUAUUUAAGCUUGGAGACCCAGCGAGAAAUGCACCAGUGGGGAGUGGUCCCAGAAACAAGGGGUGCUGGCCCAACGCCCCACUCCCCAGCCUCACACCCCACCUCUGUCUUGUAUGCUCCUGACACUCUAGCUCCUGUCUGGAAGGCCUCUGCUCCAUUUCCUGUGGUCAGAGCUGUGUCUCGGGACCCUGCUAGACACCACUUCCCUAAGAUGCUGUCCUGACACGGCCAGCAGCAGCGAGCGUGUGCUGUGCUGGGCAUGUCCUUCCUUUGUACCUGUGAACAGGUGACUGUACGAUGGGGAAGUCCCCAUCUUGUCUUCCCAGCUGGACCGUGCUCUUUGGGCAGGAUCCGUGUCUGAUUCACCUCGGGGAGCCCGACAGGGUUUGGUCAAGUGCCCAGCAUGUGGGCUUCACAGAGAGUGAACCUCGUGGGCAAGAGUGUCUGUGGGAAACUGAACAAUUCAGUGUGAGUAAAGUGCAAGGAGGGGGUGGUGGCGAAAAGGUCUGCAGGGGGACAGGUCACAGAGGGUCCCGAAAGCCCACUCAGGCACUGGGACUUGCCCUGAAGGGAAUGAGAGCCCUGGGCGGAUUUCAAGCAGAGCAACACUGGUGGAUCACACAUUGGGCUGUUUGGCGUAAAGGAAACCAAAACGGGGGACAUGCAGGGGGAGCGACAAGACCCCCAGCCCAUCCCCAGCCCUCUUCUUACUUCCCCUGGCCCUGCUCUCUAUGGACGAAGGAAAAUCUUCUCUGCCCGCUCAGAUGCUGGGACCGUGCUGGGGCCGUCUCGUGAGAAUGUGGAAAGACUCUGCACACAGUGCCACCCGCCUUGCAAGCAGCAGCCAGCGGCCUCCUGGACAUCCUCAGCGUCUUAGGAGGCCAGGCAGAAGCUCUCUGACAGAUGAAUCCUCCUCUGGACCCCCCAGGAUGUCUGGCUUCCCGUGAGCUCCUCUGGAACCUUGAGCAGGCUGAACAGCCCGCACCUCGGUCACGACUCUCAGCGGGACUGCUCUGUGCCACUGUCAUAAAAAGGAGAAAUCAUCCCAGGGGACAGGCCCAACUCAUGCAUAAUAGUCAGAAAACUCAGCUGUACCUGGAAGUGACCUGAGGCUGCUUUUUGGGCCCACACCCGUGCCACUUCUCUGGCUCCCCACACAGGCUGGCUCACGGGGCUUGGUUCCCCUAUCAUGGACCUCUUGGUUGUAGAUAAUAAAGGCCACAGGAUCGGAAGUUUCCCUCGGUCCUUCUGGAAAUGUUAGGUAACGUUAGUACACAGUUUCUCCCUUUCUGCCCUGCACCAUGGCUCCCAGCCUUUUCCCUUCAGAACCACAUUCAUUGCUGCUGAGAGUUACCAUAAUAAUUCUAAGUCAUUUUUCCACUUUGUCGUUCUGAUUAACUCCAAGUACUACAUCACUACACACUUCUCAAACUGGAGCAUGCACGGCCCCAUUUCUGUGUAGGGAGAAUGCAAAAGUAACUGUGACACACCUUUCUGGAGCAUCCAGUUGAUUACAAGACUUGGAAGACCAAGGACUUUACCAGAACUGUCCCUCUACCCUACAAACAUGGAAGAAGAGAUGGAGGGGACAGGAGAGGGAAGAAGUGCCCGAGGAAAAGCAGCCCAGCCUCUGAAGUUUCACCCAGGUUGGGGCCAAGGGGCACACCUGCAGCGAGGUGGCCUCUCCUCGUGUCCCCAGGCACCUCCAGGCCGUCCUCGAAGUUCACCAAGUAUCUUGGAUAUAUGCUUCUGAAGGCCAUGGAGAUGCCAGAUGCCAUUCUGAUGUGAAUCCCGUGUGGAGGAGGCUGCAGCAGCUUGCACACCUCCAUCGUCUGCUGGACCAAAUCCUCUCACCUGGAUGUCCGCGCACAUAUGGCGUGUGCUUCUCGCACUGCUCCCGCUCACAGCUGAAUGCAUCUCACCUCUGGCCAAACUCCCUCGCCACUGUGCCAGCCUGUGGAGCUCGGCAUCUUGCUCUCCAUUUAAAACGCAGGGGUUUGGCUUGACCUCCCCACCAUCUUUGAUUUGGACCCUGCCAUGAGAUCAAAUUGGCUUCACUCUAUUGUGUUUGCCAUGCCGGUUCUUGCUGGGCACACAGAAACAGAAGCGUCUUAUAAAGUUUAAGAAUCUACCAGCGGACCUCCUUGGGCCCUGGCUGGGGCCAGAGGGAGAGGCUGGGGUCGCCCCAGCACGCUGCCCAGCGUGCAGGAAGGUUCCACUGCAGGACACACCCUGGGGGCAGUUGCUUUCCGCUGGGCCGCCACUACUGUUGCUGGUGCUGUGGGUGGAGGGGAAGGCCCCAGGGCCGUUCUGGAGGGUUGGGCUGGGGGUGGCAGUUCUCGACUCCAGGCUGGCCGGGGUACUGGCAGGCUCUUUGGCCUUUGGCCCUGACCCCUGUUUCUCCCCAGGCUGCUGAUUUUCUGCCUUGCAGAGCCAGAUGCGAAAACCAUGUUCGCUGUGAUCACGUCUUCCUGGGAGUGCAAAGGCCUUCAGAUGCACCGUGCAGGUCUGGGAAGAGCUGCAGCUGUUGGGGUCAAUGACCUUACAGUGACGGUGUGACCCUCCACCCGGGGUUUCUUGGAACUAAGCAUCAGGCACGUGGACGUAACAUCGUCAUACCUCCUUCUUGUUAAGGAAUCCUGGAUCUUGUCCCACUCAAAGCCCAUGUUCAUCAUUACCUGUGUCACCCAGGAGUCCCUGUUGUCACAGGGCAGCUCCUGGUAAGGCCUGAGUCUCUCCUGGCCCAUAUUGACCCACAGGUCCUCCAGGACAUCUUUUAAACUCCUUUUCUUGCUGGGGUCAAGGGUCAUCAGUUCUUUCAAGAGCCUUCUGCAUUCCAGUGAAAGGAACAUGGGAAGCGGGUAUCGCUGGCUCAGCACCAGCUGCUGCACUGUGCAGAUGUCCUCUCCCAGGAUAGGUGGGACCCAGUGACUAUAACGUAAAGAAUAACGCCAAGGUUCCAGAUAUCAGCCGGGGGACUGUAUAGCCUGGGCCCUGGAAGGUCUCCAGGCAGUAUAACCAGGCCACUGCAGUACGCGCUCAGCUUGCACCCGACGAACACGUUGCUGAGGCUGAAGUCCGCCAGCUUCACAUUCAGUUCAGCAUCCAGAGGCAGGUUCUCCAGGCUCAGGCCCCUGUGGACAAUGCCUCUGUGGUGGCAGUAUCGGAGAGCCGAGCCGAGCUGCCGGAAUUUUCCUUGGGCCUCUUCCUCCAGCACGCCGCCGUGGUUUCAUAAGUAAUUGAGUGUGUCUCCUCCACUAACGUCCUCCAGGACGAAGAACAAUGUUUCCUCCGUGUCAAUCACCUCAAACAACCUUACAAUAUGGGGGUGACUCAAGGCCUUCAGGCUGUGGACUUCACGGAAAAGUUCCCUGAUUCUGGUGAGGCUGUGUCAAGUCUUGCGAAUGACUUUAACAGCCACCUCUGUCACGGUUGGGAUGUGCCAGGCCAACUUCGCGCUGGAGAAGAUACCCUUUCCAAUGGUCUUGAGGAGCUCAUAAUUGUUAACACAGGUCUUCUUGUUGGCAGAGGUGGCUGCAAGGCCCAGAAGCAUGGUGACCUGCUAACUACAUUAACUGACAAUACUAACAAUGCUAACUAUGCUUACUAACUACGCUAACAAACAAAACUAUAGUAUGCUAACUACUAGUAACUAAUGAUACUAACAAUGCCACCUAUGCUUACUAACUAUGCAAAUAAAUAAUACUGACUAAACAUGCUAACUACUAACUAUACCAACAAUACUAACUGUCCUAACAAUACUAAAUUUAAAAAUUAAAGAAAAUGAGAAAGAGAACAAAGAAAAAAUGAGAAAAGUACAAAGGGAAAUUGAGAAAAAGAAAAAAUAAAAAAGUGAGAAAAAGAAAGGAAAAAUGAGAAAAAGACAAAAAGAAUUUUAAAAAUGAGAAAGGAGAACAAAGAAAAAUAAAAAAUAAUAAGAAAAAAUAGGAAAUAAAAAUAAUAACAAAAAAAAGAGUAGAUAAAAAAGAAAAAAUAAACAAAAUGGGGGGUGGUGAGCAAACAAGCUGGCUGUGGUCCAGCUACAGGUCACCAAAAGUUAGCUUCCUGGGUUAUAAGAACCAAAAACCUAGGCCUGGCCAGAGACUUUAUAGGUAUUUUGCAAUUUCAUUACAGUGGCUCACUAGGAGGGCAAAGCAAGAAAUGUGCCAACCAUGACUGAGGAGAAACCACAGUGAUUUUCUCACUUUUUGGUCUCAAUACCCCUUUAGUCUUAAAAAAAGGACCCCAGACAAAGGGUUAAUCUCCAUACUAUAUAAAGAGCUCACACAACUCGACAACAACAAAUCAAACAACCUGAUCAAAAAAUGGGCAGAGGAUAUAAACAGACAUUUCUCCAAAGAAGAUAUACAGAUGGCCGAUAGGCACAUGAAAAGAUGCUCAUCAUCUCUGAUCAUCAGGGAAAUGCAAAUCAAAACUACAUUAAGAUAUCACGUUACACUCGUUAGAAUGGCAAAAAUAACCAAAACAAAAAAGAACAAAUGUUGGAGAGGAUGUGGAGAAAAGGAAACCCUCAUACACUACUGGUGGGAAUGCAAACUGGUGCAGCCACUAUGGAAAACAGUAUGGAAAUUUCUCAAAAAAUUAAAACUAGAAAUACCAUAUGACCCAGCCAUCCCACUACUGGGUAUCUAUCCAAAGAACUUGAAAUCAGCAGUUCAGAGAGACCCAGGCACCCCUAUGUUCAUUGCAGCAUUAUUCACAAUAGCCUAGACGUGGAAGCAACCCAAGCGCCCAUCAACUGAUGAGUGGAUAAAGAAGAUGUGGUAUAUAUACACAAUGGAAUACUACUCAGCCAUAAAAAAGAAUAAAAUCAUCCCAUUACAAGAACACAGAUGGACCUUGACGGUAUUAGGUUAAGUGAAAUAAGCCAGACAGACAAUCUCUGUAUGACUCCACUCAUGUGGAAGAUAAACAAACACAUGGACAAGGAGAACAGAUCAGUGGUUAUCAGGAGGAAGGGGAGUGGGGGGUAGGCACAAAGGGUGAAGAGGUGCACCUAUAAGAUGACUGACAAAUAGUAAUGUACAACUGAAAUUUCACAAGUUUGUAAACUAUUAUAACCUCAAUAAUAAUAAAAAAGGACUCCAAAGGGCUUUUCACUUAUGUGGGAUAUUAGAGAGUGAUAUUUAUUAGAAAUUAAAAUCUGUAGGAUGCUUCAGUGGCCUUUUCAUUUCUAAUUUAAAAAUCUGUAAUAAUUUCUGGCUUUUAAAGACCUCAUAAUGUCUACACUUAAAAUCUUCAAUUCCUUUUCCUUAAACUCUGAUUAGUCUCAAAAUGAUCCUAUAACUUAACUCAUGUUAUAAUACUAUAGGAUGCUGGUGUCGCCUAUAAUACUAUAGGAAAACGUUCUGUUGUAUAAGACAUGAGAACCAGGAACUUGCAAGAAAACACUGGAUGGGGUGUCUGUGACAAGUUCCUCUUUAUCAGUUCAGGUGCUAGCAGGAAAUACACAGCACGCUCAAAUUUGGUAAUUUGAGGUGAGUCUAAUAAAAGGACCAUUUGUAGAGAUGUGGGCUGGGUGUGAGGCAACAUAAGAGGGUGCAGUAUGCUGGGGCUAGAAACCAUGGGGAGCCAUUACCCACCGCCCUCUGCCCCCGGGGCUGCCAGGGAGCAGUUAGCAGGAACCCAAAGAGAACAGCCUGUGGGUAGAGAGCUGCUUGACUAAAAGCGUGGCCUUUGGAGAUCAGCCAGGCGGCAGUGAAGCUGCAGGAAGGGGGCCAGGGAAAUAAAUACCCCUCCCUACUUUCUUGCCUUCCUCGCCAGCCAAGCUCCAAAAUGGCCAAACUCAUAGAUAUGGUCCACGUGAUCCAGCCUUCUGGGGCAGAGAGCAGGAUGGAAAGUGGGUUUGCAGAGCUAAAUGGAAGCUUCCAGCACAACACGCUCUUUCCGCUAUUGUUGUCGAAGCAUUUCUCUUCUAUUUGCUAACUCCUAGGGUGGGGACAAGGCCUCCUGGGAACGGAGGCUGGACGCAGGGCAGCAGCAAGAAUACGAUGCAGUAAGGAUGGCCGUUACGGUCCCCUUCCAGACAGUGGGAAGUAGGUCUGCAGCUCAGGGCUCAGGCGCUGGGCAGGACCGUGACCCUCAGGAAAGAAGAGAGACUACCCACCCUGAGGGUUCCAGGGUGGCACUGGACAGAGGAAAAGUCAGGCAGGCCUGCCGCCCCCGAGGAAGAGAGCGACGUCGGCCACCCUUGACGAUAGUUUCCAGUUACUGGAGUUUCUGUUGCCUGAAUUCUGACUGCCCCGCAACCAAGUUCAGCCUGGAUCUCUCUUGUCUGAACCACUGCCAGGCAGUGCAGAACACAGACGGGCCACCUCUGUGUACAGAGGUGACUGGGCAGUCCCACCAAACCAAUCACAGUUUCUGCCAUGGUCUGCUACACGGCAUGGAGGAUUACUGUGCUGGAGACAGGCUCAUAUUAAAAUAUUAACCUACAUUUAAAAUGUUUCCAUCGUGUCCACGGGGAUCUCCAUUCCAUAUGUUUGCAGGGGCUCUGGGGCCAGCAGUGUGUCUGACUUUGAGUGUUUUAAAAUGAAGGCUAAAGGUGACUUGCAAUAAACCAGCACAAGUAAUAACACAGAGGCCAAGACACCCCCCUUAGUUAAUAUUGACUUUGAAGGCUUUCCUUCCGUGAACAGCAUCAGAGGCUGAUAGACCCUAGAGGCCACCUCCUUUAACUGGUUCAACCUCCCUUGGUUUAAAUUCUUCUCUUCGCCCCUCCCUUCCUCUCUCCUUUCUUCCCAAAAUGUGUUCAGCUGACCACCUGUAUUAGUUUCCUGUGGCUGCUGUAACAAAUGACCACAAACUCGGCAGCUUAAAACAACACAAACUUACUAUCUUACAGUUUGGAGGUCAGAAGUCUGAAAUGGGUCUUACCAGGCUAAAAUCAAGGUGUCAGCACGGCUGUGUUCCCUCUGGAGAAUCCACUUCUCGGCCAUUUCCAGCUUCUAGAGGCCAGCAUUCCUCCACUCAUGGCCCCUCCCUCCAUCUUCAAAGCUAGCAAUGGACAGUCAAGUGUUUCCCACGAUGCAUCACUCUGACUCUGAUUCUCCUGCCUCCCUCCUUCACUUAGAAGGACUCUUCUGAUUCCAUUGGGCCCAGCUGGAGAAUCCAGAAUAAUCUCCCCAUCUCAAGACCCUUAAUUUAAUCACAUCUACAAAAUCCCUUUCGCCACAUCAAGUAACACAUUCACAGGUUCUGGGAAUCAGGAUGUGGACAUCUUUGGGAGCCCAUUAUUCUGCCUACCCCUCAUGCAGGUUAACUUCAAGUUAUGUGCUUUCCUAGUACAUACCCUCCUUAUUCACGGUGCCCAUCAACACGGAAGUUCACUGCAACUGUAGUGGUGAAAUUAGUGAUUUAAUGUCUAUCCCCCUAACUGGAUAAAAAACUCUCCAAAGGAGGAGAUUAUAGAUGUUUUGACAACCACUAGCGUAUUCUCAGAGCUUCCUAGCAGCAAAGGCAAGUAAGGAAGCAUGUUGAGAAGGGAGGAAGAAGAGAAAAGAAAACAAUAGCUAACUUUUAAUGAUCACUCACCUGUGUGCCAGCAAUGUUCCAGGUGUUUUUAGCCUAUUUAGUUCACACGUUGUGAAGGAGGGGCUGUCAGCUACAGAAAGCAGUAGCACAGCUGGGAUUCAGAAUCCCUGAUCUGAACCACUGUGUCACAUAAACAAAUACUCUCAAACAGUAUUUCAUGUGCCAUAAUAGAAGUCUGAGAGGCAGAAAUGAAGGAGGGAGGGACCAGGUCUACAGAUGUGUCAGGCAAGAUUUUCCAGAAGAUGUAAUACAUGGAAGGCAGAGGGGGGUGUGCCGAGUUGGGGGUGGGGCGGGGGAAGGAGGGCUGUGAUGGGGAGUGGAGCAAGGUGUUCAAGGCAGAGGAGGCUAUAUGAACAAAGUCCCAGGCAGGAAAUUGCUUGGUGUUUUCUAGAAAUUGAAGAUGAUGCAGUACCGCUGGAGCUUAGGCGGUGAAAGGCAGGGCACAGAGCAGGAGAUGGGGCUGAAGUGGGAGGCAGAGGCUCCAUUCCGAGAACGCUGUCAGCCAUGUCUAGGCUUUAGACACUGUCCUAAAGAAAAUGGGAAGCCAUUGGAAGACUUUCGAUGCUGAGGUUUUAACAAAAUCAGCUUACUCACCACGUGGAAGAAGGAUUGCAGGGUUGGGAUGCUGAAGGCAACGAGGCAAGUGGAGCGCGUGUGAAUGGGAAGCCUAGUGCUGGAACCCAGAGGUUUCAUGGCUCCAGCCCAGGGCAUUGCCAGCUGUGCAUCUGGACCCUCCCCACGGCCUCACCACCACCAAGAGAGGGAGUGCGGUGGGGAAGCAGAGAGCCCUCUGCUCUCGGAAUGAAGAAAUCGAAAGUCCAAUCUCUGCUUCAAAACCAGGCAAAGGGAGGAGAAGCGAGCCAGAGAGAAACGCAUUUAAUUCUUUUUUCUUUUUUUUUAAAAUGUAUUUUUGCAUCUAACAUGAUUUCUAAUUUUUGUUUUUUUAAGAUUUUUUUUCCCUUUUUCUCCCCAAAUCCCCCCGGUACAUAGUUGUGUAUUUUUAGUUGUGGGUCCUUCUGGUUGUGGCAUGUGGAUGCCACCUCAGCAUGGCUUGAUGAGUGGUGCCAUGUCUGCACCCAGGCUCCGAACCGGUGAAACCCUGGGCCGGCGAAGUGGAGCGCGAGAACUUAAGCACUCAGCCACGGGGCCGGCCCCUGCAUUUAAUUCUUAACUCACAGUGAAGACUUCCUCCAAGAAGAUUCAUUCAGAAAUUACUUCUCCUCCCUGUGAACACCUCCCACUGAUGUUCCUGCCACGCCUUCAUUCAAUCAACAAAUAUUGAGCACCUACUGUAUGCCCAGCACUGUGUUAGGCACCAUGUUAGAUGCAGAAAUGAAUGACUCUGACUUGUUCUUUGCCCUUGUGGAGUUUACUGUCUAGUAGGAGAAUAAAACAUCGAUCAAAUUAAUGCAUAUAUUGUAACAUGAUUUUAAGCGUGGCAAGCCCCAUGAAGAAGCUGAUGGGGAGCGUGAUGACGGCAGAUUGCAUCACUGGUUCCAGUUCUUUACCUCUCCUUGUAGUUUCAACUGUGUCAUGUGACUUUGAAGUUUCUUCCAUAACAGCACAGUAUAUUUCCACACUCCAUUGACUUUUAGCUUAGCCAUGUGACUUACUUUGUCCAGUAAGAUGAAGUGGAGGUGACAGUGAGCCAAUUCCAAGGGUAGGUCUUGGCAGGUCUUGGUGUGCUCCCUUUUGCCCUCCUGUGUCUCUGCCAUCACCUUGAGAAUACGCCUUGGCUAGCCUGCUGGCCCCACGAGGAGGCUGAGAGACACAUGGAGCACGGCUGCCCCAGCUGAGCCACUCUAGCUAAGAGGAGGCUAGAUGAACUGACCUGACCCCACAGCUCUAAAGAUGAAUGAGAGGGCCCAGCUGAGAUCAGCAGAGCUACCCAGCCAAUCCCAGCCAGGGUCAGCUAACCCAGCUCACCUGCACACUUGUGAGUUCAAGAAAUGCUUAUUGAUGUAAGCCGCUGAGAGUGGCUAUUUGUUAUGCAGCAUUAUUGUUUAUAGUUAGGUGACACACUGACUUAUUCUAAGCAGGCUAUGGCGGGACUCCCUGAAGAAAUGGCAUCUCAGCAACAGCCAAGUUCAGUGGGUGAAGGAGGAGAAGAGGAGCAUUCCAGGCUGAGGGAUGAGCAAAGGCCCUGAGGCAAGAAGGACAUGACCAUUCGAGAAACUGAAAGAAAGCAGGAUUUUCUGGGGGUGCAAAGGUGCGGUGG